AUUUAUCAAAUUUAUUUAUUUUUACAUAAAAGAGUCCAGUUUUUCUACUUUUCUUUAAAGAAAAAGGCUCUAAUAUUUUUUCAGCUCAGGGCCUAAACUAACAUUAAGACGGGUCUGUCUGAGAUACAAUGUGAUUCACAAUACUUUCUACAUUUGCAGAAACAUCUCUGUAAGUUACUAAAAAUUCCGGACUAUGCAAUUCUUUAAAGGUUAUAUAGUUAGCAAGCUUUCGGAGAUUCCAGAAUACUGUAGACAGAGCUGUUCGUUGUGGUCGUUCGCUACGGAGAGAGUCUGUCCAUCAAGAAUGUCAUUCUCGUACAUGCAGAAAUGUCUGUCGAUCCAAGUGUUUUGGGAAAAAUUUCAUCGUGCAAUCAUUAUAUAUGAAACUAUUCAUCAAUAUCGCAUAUGUUGCAGGUAAUUUGAUCAUUAUAUGUAAUAGAAUUAUAAAUAAUAUAAUGUAUGCUAUCCAGUGUUAAAAAAGUUGUUUAAAACAUGUUUACAUCUUAUAUGAUGUUAAUGUGUACACCAAUUUCACAACACUAACUUCACAAUGUACGUGUACAACAUACAUAAAAAGCUCUCAUCCUUAUAUUCCUUCUGUUCCUUAAUAAUAGACUUUUUAAAAAAAAUAUUUAUUUCAAAAAGAUGUAUUUUUGUGUUUUCUAUGAAAAAAUUGUAAACUUCAAGAAAAUUAAUUAACUUUAUUGAAUUACUAUUGGUUUAAAGUUAUUGAAAAUUAAAAAUUACAGAAAACGAUACAUUUAUUAUGGUAGUUUAAUGUGUUUUAUUAAUAUUUGUGAAAAUAAUAAAAAGUCUAUAUUUUAGGAACGGGAGUACGAUUUUUCCAAAAAGUCAACAAUCUUUUUUGAGUCAUCUUGUUGUGUGUACUUCUGCAUAUAAUUACUGAAAUCCGUAGCUUUUAUUCCUUAUUGUUGCUAGUUUUCAUCCAGUUGUUAGGUAGCUGUUGAGGAGCAUUACAUCACAUCCACGAGGACAAGAUCUGCUAUGAUUUGUUCAAAAAAUAUAUUGUUGAUUUUUCUUAUUUUUAAUAAACUUGACGUUGCAUAUAUAAGAAAAGUUGAUGUAACUGAGAAACCUUGAGAACAAGAAAUUUGCAAAUUUCAUUAUUUUCUCCACUUCCUUUUAGUUUUUUUCUGUAUCUGCUGCCUUCACUCUCUUGGGAUAUAAAAAAAAAAGAUAAAAUUUUCUGAGAGAAUAGGUUUAGAGUUUAUAGGGUCAGAUCGUUUUUGUGGGUUUGAUCCUGAAGAGCAAGAUGCGUUUGAAUGUGUGAUGUAGUAUCUGCAUAAUGACUGAGCCAAACCCGAUGUGGGACAAAUAGAGCGCAAGUUCUGACCCUUUACCCCUCCUGAAAUUAGUCCAGACGUUUCUUACACGUUAUGUCUCACUGAUUUUUGUUUGCAAGGGGAUCUUGGGCAUGAUUUUGACUCAAAAAUAAACUUAACACGUUACACGAAUAGCCCACCAAAGGGCAAGCAGGUUUGUUUGUUGGAGGUCUCUCUCAAGGUGAUCAAUUAUUGAUGAAAGAAGCUAAACAAACAUAUCUGAGGUCUUUCUUUGGAUAAACAAGAAAGGAGAUCGUGUCCAAAGAAUGAUUUAUGUUUUGUUGAUCUUGUUCUGGUUUGAUUUUGAACAGCUUAGUGUUGCUCUGUAAUGGAUGCAUAACCAGUAGAUAUGUCAGGAUAUUAAAAGGAACCGUUAUUUUGCCUCGUGAUAGCGAUGUUCCUUCGAAUCUUCUGACAUAUCUACUGCUUAUGCCACCAUUACAGAACAGCAACAAGCUGUUCAGAACCAAACACAGAACAAGAACAGCGGAACAUAAAAUCUGAUCAUCAGACACACGACCCUUGGGAAAUUCUUUUGUAAAACUUGAAUCUGGAACUCGAAGAAUCAUGUUUAUUGGAAAAAAAAAUGUAAUUUAUUUUUGUAUUAGCACAUUUUAUUACAAUAAUCCAGUUAAAG